rnacentral:rRNA from 1 species
UACGUAGGGGGCAAGCGUUGUCCGGAAUCAUUGGGCGUAAAGCGCGUGUAGGCGGCUCGAUAAGUCUGCUGUGAAAGUCCAGGGCUCAACCCUGGAAUGCCAGUGGAAACUGUCAAGCUAGAGUCCGGAAGAGGCGAGUGGAAUUCCUGGUGUAGCGGUGAAAUGCGCAGAUAUCAGGAGGAACACCGGCGGUGUAGACGGCUUUCUGGACCGUAACUGACGCUGAGACACGAAAGCGUGGGUAGCAAACAGG